UAUCAAGAAAGAAAAAAAAAAAUUCGAACUCAUUUUCUUCUGUUCCCGUGUACACGUCAUUGUUUUCGUCCCAAGAGAAUAGAGAUGUGUUUUAUUUGAGCAGCGGGGAUGAAUGGAGCAAAGGUCGGUUUGUGAGUUUGUUUUGAGUGUUCCCAAAUUCUUCACAAAAUCAAGGACGUCCAUUGAUUUCUGUCGUCAAGAGACAAGGGCCGGCCACACCAGGCCACGACAAUAACAACUCUCUAUCUCUAAGGCAGGACAUUUGAGCAGAAUCUAACAUUCUUGCAAUGGAUAUUUCAUAAAUUCUUUCCUAUAAUCUCCCAUAAGAAUCCGGGUUGUUCAGAAACAUUUAAAAACACUCAUGAUAUUUGGCGUGAAAUUGCCCGUUUCAGAUUUAACGGGAGCAGAAAAGCACUCAAAAAAAAAAAAAGUGCAGUAAUUCUCUGCCACGGAUUUGGACACUUUGCAGUAGUUUUUCACAGCUUUAAAGCUUCUAGACCCCCGAGACAAAGAAGAUUAGUGUGUUGAGGUGGCCCAACCAUCAGCAAUAAACACCGCAAAGAGGAUUUCGUACAGCGAGUGCUGGUUUAGUAAACAGGGGUGAGCUGGUAAAGAUCCAGCAGAGCCAUAAGAUGUCUGUGGCAAGUCUUUAUCAGAUUAAUGGCACAUGGUGGUGGGGGUACACAAAGGGAAAGGGGAAAAAGACAGUCGGAGACAAAGCAAAGCAAACUUACAAAAAAUAAAUAAGUACAAAAUUCAUUCUGACAAGAAAAUUGCACGGAUUUCAACUGUGGUUUAAUAAGCGAAUAAUUUGAUUCAUUUAGUUCAUUCAGUAAAGGGAUACUUUAGAAGGACCCAUUCUGUGUUUGCUUUCGUGCGCAGGUUUGCCCCUGCACUACAUUUAUUCGCAGGCAUAUUUAUCACCACUGCUUAUUUAAUUCUGCCAACGGAAAUGUCUGACACUGUAUCGGUGACCGAGAAAAAUUAGCAUUUGAGUGACAUUUUGAGAAUCAGCCUUAAAAAUUUUACAAAAUUAGACACAAAUCAGUUAUGUUAUGUGAAAUGUGUUAUAGCGCAGUCUCGAUUAAAGUUGAAAAAGAUUUUUUUUUUAAAUGCAAAAAGUCAAGUAAAAAGGGGUUUUAUAUACACUUGGAAUUCUGAACACUAAAUAAAUAUGUUAAAUAAACGCUAAAUGUAUAAAAACAACGUGCCGAAAAGAAAGAACGAAAACAGAGAGAGAGGGUGCUCUGAAAAGAACAUUGCCUGGGUUUCGGCGAAAUGCUUAACUUUUCUAAGAAUUGUUUCUUUUUUAUAGGAUGGAGCAUUCCAGCUUCAAUUUCCAUGCGUACAUGUGGACACUUAACUCCAGAUUGCUGGAGGGAACAGAUUGUGCACUUUAAGAACGUGAAGUAUGCAGAAGCCUUGAUCUGAGGGGACAGUUACACUACCUUACUCUCAAGAGGCCUUAAAGAGACAUGAAGCUCUGAUGUACAAUAUGUACAGCCCAUCCGUCACACUUUCGUUGGAAGAAGUGUCCGUGAGUUCGCGUAUAACAGCGGAAAGUGUUUACAUAAUGAAUUAAACGUCCCCGAGAGGGGAUGCGGUAAAUUUGAAGGACUAAGAAUACGUUUUGGGUUGUUGUUGGGGUUUUUUUUCCAAAAAAAGAGAUACGAACACGGACGUGAGCGAGCAUGCAUUUGUGUGAGAAUUUGAAUUUCCUAAAACGGGUCGCUCGGUCUCUCUAGGAAAAGUAAAUUUGUUAAUUUUGGGCAGGGUGAUAGAGAGCCGCCCACGCACAGCCUCUAGGGAACAGCAAGCUGUGUUGUAUCUCUGGAAAAUUCCAUGAAAUCUCACAAUAAACCCUGCUUUUCAACAAGCGUGACGUCACAGGACCGGGCUUGUUUAUGUGAAGUUAAAAAGAGGGACACCAUCACAAUGUGACAUUAAUGUUCCCGUUUCCUCUUGAGGAGAGAUGGAGGCAGCAAAGGAGGGUUCACUGAGGACGUUUAGGCUUGAUACAGAUCUGCUGCCCAGAGGAAGGGAUUCCAGUUGGAAACUGAAAAUGCUGCAGACUGAAAGAUAAGAAUACACCUCUUUCUAGUGGGAAUGUCCGGUCGAAAAUAUGCGGCUUAUGUUUGUACAUCUAAAGAAAAAAAAGAAUGGAAUGAAUAAUUAAGUUCAUGCAGGAAAAUACAUCUUGUGUGGAAAGUAUACAAACUGACACAAAGCUAUCAAUGUGCAUUAAAUAAUAUUAAGUUAUUUCUAAUGUCAAUGUUUAAUUUUAAAAGUACAUAAUUUUAGUGUGUAUAACUAUGUAUAUAAAACAAAAAUACUAUUAUUACAUAAAAUUAAUUUAUAAAA